rfam:Hordeum vulgare subsp. vulgare, WGS project CAJW01000000 data, contig: morex_contig_53742
CAUGUAUUCCUCCGUCCGAAAAUACUUGUCGUAAAAAUGAAUGUAUCUAGAUGUAUUUCAGUUUUAGAUACAUCCAAUUUUAUCAAUUUGUAUAACUAGUAAUUCUGAACGGAGGGAGCAUUUU